AUACGGAGGGGGCUAGCGUUGUUCGGAAUUACUGGGCGUAAAGGGUACGUAGGCGGUUUGUUAAGUUGGGUGUGAAAGCCCCGGGCUCAACCUGGGAACUGCAUUCAAAACUGGCAGACUGGAGUUUGGCAGAGGCUAGUGGAAUUCCCGGUGUAGCGGUGAAAUGCGUAGAGAUCGGGAGGAACAUCAGUGGCGAAGGCGACUGGCUGAGCCAAAACUGACGCUGAGGUACGAAAGCGUGGGGAGCAAACAGGAUUAGAAACCCUAGUAGUCC
rnacentral:rRNA from 1 species